CUAGAUGCCAGUAGCACCUCCUCAGUUGUGACAACCGAAAAUGUCUGCAGGCUCUGCUGAACAUCCCCUGAGGGGCGCAACCACCCCCAUUGAGACCUACAGCUGUAUACCCUUCUGCUCCGGGAGUUGAUGAUGGACGGGGAAGCCUGGCAUGCUGCAGUCCGUCGGGUCGCAAAGAGUUGGACACGACUGAGCAACUGAACUGAUUCCCGUUGUGGGCUCCAGGAGAGGAGGGAGGAUUCUUAACCACUGGACUACCAGGGAAACCACUCAAGUAUUCCCUUCAUGAAGGUUCAUGAGACCACGUCGGGGGAACCUCAGAAUGCGACCUUAUUUGGGGGCUUCCUUGUUGGCUCAAUGGUAAAGAAUCCACCUGCCAAUGCCAGAGACUCAGGUUCGAUCCCUGAUCCAGGAAGAUCCCACAUGCCGCAGAACAGCGAAGCCGGUACGUCACAGCUACUGAACCUGUGCUCUAGAGCCCAGGAGCCGAAGCUACAGAAGCCCAAGCGCCUAGAACCUGUGCUCUGCAACAAGAAGCUCCCGCCAUGAGAAGCCUGCACACAACUAGAGAGUAGUCCCUGCUCACCACAAUUAGAGAAAAGCCCACACAGCAACGAAGAUCCAGUACAGCCCAAAAUAAAUAAAUAAAAUUUUAAAAUAAAAAAAA
rnacentral:lncRNA from 1 species